UACGUAGGGUGCGAGCGUUGUCCGGAUUUAUUGGGCGUAAAGAGCUCGUAGGCGGUCUGUCGCGUCGGCUGUGAAAACCCGGGGCUCAACCCCGGGCCUGCAGUCGAUACGGGCAGACUAGAGUGCGGUAGGGGAGACUGGAAUUCCUGGUGUAGCGGUGAAAUGCGCAGAUAUCAGGAGGAACACCGGUGGCGAAGGCGGGUCUCUGGGCCGUAACUGACGCUGAGGAGCGAAAGCGUGGGGAGCGAACAGG
rnacentral:rRNA from 1 species